rnacentral:rRNA from 1 species
CCUACGGGAGGCAGCAGUGGGGAAUUUUGGACAAUGGGCGCAAGCCUGAUCCAGCCAUGCCGCGUGAGUGAAGAAGGCCUUCGGGUUGUAAAGCUCUUUCGGCCGGGAUGAAAUCGCUCUCGCUAAUAUCGGGAGUGGAUGACGGUACCGGAAUAAGAAGCACCGGCUAACUACGUGCCAGCAGCCGCGGUAAUACGUAGGGUGCGAGCGUUAAUCGGAAUUACUGGGCGUAAAGCGUGCGCAGGCGGUUCCGCAAGUCAGAUGUGAAAUCCCCGGGCUUAACCUGGGAACUGCGUUUGAAACUACGGAGCUGGAGUACGGCAGAGGGAGGUGGAAUUCCAAGUGUAGCAGUGAAAUGCGUAGAUAUUUGGAGGAACACCGAUGGCGAAGGCAGCCUCCUGGGCUAGUACUGACGCUCAUGCACGAAAGCGUGGGGAGCAAACAGGAUUAGAUACCCUGGUAGUCCACGCCCUAAACGAUGGCAACUAGUUGUUGGGGAUUAACAUCCUUAGUAACGCAGCUAACGCGUGAAGUUGCCCGCCUGGGGAGUACGGUCGCAAGAUUAAAACUCAAAGGAAUUGACGG